rnacentral:rRNA from 1 species
GAGAAUGGCUAAAUUCCCUUGAAAUGACCAGAUCCUGUCUGAUCUUUGAUGCUAAGCAGGAUUAGUUUUGGUUAGUAUUUGGAUGACAGAUCCCCAAGGAAUACCAGAAGGUAUAGGUU